rnacentral:rRNA from 1 species
ACACUCCUACGGGAGGCAGCAGUGGGGAAUAUUGGACAAUGGGCGCAAGCCUGAUCCAGCCAUGCCGCGUGAGUGAUGAAGGCCCUAGGGUUGUAAAGCUCUUUCACCGGUGAAGAUAAUGACGGUAACCGGAGAGGAAGCCCCGGCUAACUUCGUGCCAGCAGCCGCGGUAAUACGAAGGGGGCUAGCGUUGUUCGGAUUUACUGGGCGUAAAGCGCACGUAGGCGGACUAUUAAGUCAGGGGUGAAAUCCCGGGGCUCAACCCCGGAACUGCCUUUGAUACUGGUAGUCUUGAGUUCGAGAGAGGUGAGUGGAAUUCCGAGUGUAGAGGUGAAAUUCGUAGAUAUUCGGAGGAACACCAGUGGCGAAGGCGGCUCACUGGCUCGAUACUGACGCUGAGGUGCGAAAGCGUGGGGAGCAAACAGGAUUAGAAACCCCAGUAGUCCCAUA